CCUCGGACCUUGAAAAUUUAUGUGGGGACACGCAAACUUCUCAACAGGCCGUACCAAUAUCCGCAGCUGGUCUCCAAGGUGAAGAGUCUCUAGUCGAUAGAAUAAUGUAGGUAAGGGAAGUCGGCAAAUUAGAUCCGUAACUUCGGGAUAAGGAUUGGCUCUGAAGAUUGAGAUAGUCGGGCUUGAUUGGGAAACAAUAACAUGGUUUAUGUGCUCGUUCUGGGUAAAUAGAGUUUCUAGCAUUUAUGUUAGUUACUUGUUCCCCGGAUAGUUUAGUUACGUAGCCAAUUGUGGAACUUUCUUGCUAAAAUUUUUAAGAAUACUAUUUGGGUUAAACCAAUUAGUUCUUAUCAAUUAUAACGAUUAUCAAUUAACAAUCAAUUCAGAACUGGCACGGACUUGGGGAAUCCGACUGUCUAAUUAAAACAAAGCAUUGUGAUGGCCCUAGCGGGUGUUGACACAAUGUGAUUUCUGCCCAGUGCUCUGAAUGUCAAAGUGAAGAAAUUCAAGUAAGCGCGGGUCAACGGCGGGAGUAACUAUGACUCUCUUAAGGUAGCCAAAUGCCUCGUCAUCUAAUUAGUGACGCGCAUGAAUGGAUUAACGAGAUUCCUACUGUCCCUAUCUACUAUCUAGCGAAACCACAGCCAAGGGAACGGGCUUGGAAUAAUUAGCGGGGAAAGAAGACCCUUUUGAGCUUGACUCUAAUCUGGCAGUGUAAGGAGACAUAAGAGGUGUAGAAUAAGUGGGAGAUAUUAGACCUCGGUUUGGUAUCGUCAAUGAAAUACCACUACUCUUAUUGUUUCCUUACUUACUUGAUAAAUGGAACGUGUAUCAUUUCCCUAGCCAUUAUACGGAUAUAUUUAUUAUAUCUUAUGGUAUUGGGUUUUGAUGCAAGCUUCUUGAUCAAAGUAUCACGAGUUUGUUAUAUAAUCGCAAACAAAUUCUUUAAUAAAACGAUGCAUUUAUGUAUUUUUGAUUUGAAAAUUUGGUAUAACUCCAAUUACUCAGGUAUGAUCCAAUUCAAGGACAUUGCCAGGUAGGGAGUUUGACUGGGGCGGUACAUCUCUCAAAUAAUAACGGAGGUGUCCCAAGGCCAGCUCAGUGCGGACAGAAACCACACAUAGAGCAAAAGGGCAAAUGCUGACUUGAUCUCGGUGUUCAGUACACACAGGGACAGCAAAAGCUCGGCCUAUCGAUCCUUUUGGUUUAAAGAGUUUUUAACAAGAGGUGUCAGAAAAGUUACCAUAGGGAUAACUGGCUUGUGGCGGCCAAGCGUUCAUAGCGACGUCGCUUUUUGAUCCUUCGAUGUCGGCUCUUCCUAUCAUUGUGAAGCAAAAUUCACCAAGCGUUGGAUUGUUCACCCAUGCAAGGGAACGUGAGCUGGGUUUAGACCGUCGUGAGACAGGUUAGUUUUACCCUACUAAUGACAAAACGUUGUUGCGACAGCAUUCCUGCGUAGUACGAGAGGAACCGCAGGUACGGACCAAUGGCACAAUACUUGUUCGAGCGAACAGUGGUAUGACGCUACGUCCGUUGGAUUAUGCCUGAACGCCUCUAAGGUCGUAUCCGUGCUGGACUGCAAUGAUAAAUAAGGGGCAAUUUGCAUUGU
rnacentral:rRNA from 1 species